CGAUUUCUGCGACUUACCACCGUAUGAAAAAGUUACAUCUGUCCACACAGAAAAUUGCAUCUCAACAAACCUGUCAUUGGUACGCGAACUACAUUUUAGUCACUCAGUAAAGUGAUAACUCAAAAUAUCAUUGUCAACAGAUCUGGAGAAAUUGCCACUGCAUCUUUAGACCGUUUUCGUCAGAUGAGAGACACAGUUCUGACUCUGAUUACUGGUUGCUGUACGUAUCUAUCCACAUCAAGGCUGUUGAGAGAGACUCGUGAAGAUUCAAGACAGCUCUUAGAAGAUUUUGCAGUUUAAAAGUGACAUAAUUGUGAAAUAAGUGUGCAGAUGAGUGAUUAAACUGUGUUUUAUUGAAGUUGUUGUGCGAUUUUAA